rnacentral:piRNA from 1 species
CUGGAUGGAGUCUAUUUGGUCC